AAUAUUGGACAAUGGGCGAAAGCCUGAUCCAGCCAUGCCGCGUGUGUGAAGAAGGUCUNCGGAUUNUNAAGCACUUUAAGUUGGGNGGAAGGGCAGUAAGUUAAUACCUUGCUGUUUUGACGUUACCGACAGAAUAAUCACCGGCUAACUCCGUGCCAGCAGCCGCGGUAAUACGUAGGGUGCAAGCGUUAAUCGGAAUUACGGGGCGUAAAACGGGGGGUGGUGGUUUGUUACGUAGGAAGUGAAAGCACCGGGGUGAACAUGGGAACAACUGUAAAAAAUGGGAAGCGAGAGGAUGGCAGAAGAUGGUGGAAUUUCCUGAGGAGCGGUGAAAAGCGUAGAAAUAGGAAGGAGCACCAGUAGCGAAGGAGGCCACCUGGGGUAAUAAUAACAAUGAGGUGCGAAAGCGUGGGGAGCAAACA
rnacentral:rRNA from 1 species